CAACUGACGGUUCCACUUAUCUCUUUUUCUCCACCGCUGAUAUCCAAUUAAGGUAGUGUUCGCUCCCAUCUGAAAUAAGAAUGGUAGUCUCCGUUCCCACAAAUCCACCAAAAUCAGAUCGCCGACUCUCUCCCUCGCGUACAAAUGGAGCUUCAAUUGGAGAAUUAGGUACUGCUGUUGGACUGUGAGGACCAUGCCGGACGGCCGGGCUGAAGAGGGAGAGGCACCUUCGACCGGACCAGGAUCUGGAGGCUUGCGCCGCAUAUUGGGGCUGAUGGCCGCCGGCCUGACGGUCGUCUCCCUUCAGAAGAUAGAAGGCCUGGUGCUUGGCGUUGUUCUGAACUGGCAAGGACGCUGCCGUGAAUUGGUGAAGAUUGUGAACUAUGGUGUUCCUAUCUAUGUCGUCCGCUGUUUUCCCCACGGAAACAUUUCUGAAAAUCUUUUCAGUUGAGGACGAUGAACUGCAAGCCAGCGGUUGUUCUUUUGUUGCAUACUAUAUUCCUGAGAAGUGUGGAAACAAUAAGUUUUAUCACCCAUGAAGAACUAUUAUUUAGCCGUCAUCACUGAAGCCAACUUACCAUGGGUAGUUGGCACCAAGGCUCUACGACACCUUCCAUGGUAUGCUCGGCCACCAGACCAGACGCCUGCUUAGUUGUUGUGUUGCCUCUUGCAAUUCUUUAUGUUUUUGUUCCGGUUCUGCUGAGAUGUACAUUUUUUCUCGCUUUGCUGCCUUCUUCUAAUGUCAAGUGACGUACUUUCGUGUGUGUUCGAGAAAAAUAAAUCUAGUCUACUCUUCAA